rnacentral:rRNA from 1 species
UACAGAGGGGGCGAGCGUUGUUCGGAAUUACUGGGCGUAAAGGGCGCGUAGGCGGCCAACUAAGUCAGACGUGAAAUCCCUAGGCUUAACCUGGGAACUGCAUCCGAUACUGGAUGGCUUGAAUCCGGGAGAGGGAUGCAGAAUUCCAGGUGUAGCGGUGAAAUGCGUAGAUAUCGUAAGGAAGACCAGUGGCGAAGGCGGGUCUCUGGACAGUUCCUGACGCUGAGGCACGAAGGCCAGGGGAGCAAACGGG